GCCCAAGUGGCGGAAUUGGCAGACGCGCCAGGUUCAGGACCUGGUGGGGAAUUAUCCCCGUGGAGGUUCGAAUCCUCUCUUGGGCA
rnacentral:tRNA from 1 species